rnacentral:rRNA from 1 species
AUUGAACGCUAGCGGGAUGCUUUACACAUGCAAGUCGAACGGCAGCGCGGACUUCGGUCUGGCGGCGAGUGGCGAACGGGUGAGUAAUGUAUCGGAACGUGCCCAGUAGCGGGGGAUAACUACGCGAAAGCGUAGCUAAUACCGCAUACGCCCUACGGGGGAAAGCAGGGGAUCGUAAGACCUUGCACUAUUGGAGCGGCCGAUAUCGGAUUAGCUAGUUGGUGAGGUAACGGCUCACCAAGGCGACGAUCCGUAGCUGGUUUGAGAGGACGACCAGCCACACUGGGACUGAGACACGGCCCAGACUCCUACGGGAGGCAGCAGUGGGGAAUUUUGGACAAUGGGGGCAACCCUGAUCCAGCCAUCCCGCGUGUGCGAUGAAGGCCUUCGGGUUGUAAAGCACUGUUGGCAGGAAAGAAACGUCGCGGGCUAAUACCCCGUGGAACUGACGGUACCUGCAGAAUAAGCACCGGCUAACUACGUG